CGUGGCUCUCUCUUAGGAGUUCUCUGCGAACUCUCGGCUUCACAGCUCUGCGGUUGCCCUGGCUGAGGCUCCGACAUCCUUGGAUCUUAGGACACAAGGCAAUACAUUCUAUUGUAGCCCAACAGGGCUUCAGAAUUAGAAAUCUACCCUUGAAAGCUUGCAAUGGAAGCUAGGCUACAGGUUUGCGAAGUUAAUAACCUAUAUCUACAUAACACAAGGGAGUUCGAGUCUUCAAAGAGAGCAGAACAGAGCCAAGAUAUUGUACUCAAACUCCCAGCAUCCAUGAUGAAACUGAUAAUUAUCAGAGUCGAAUUGGAAUUACCUGGUUACUGGCCCGGCCGUUUUGAUUGCGUUGUAAUAGUAUGGAUAAGGUAUACUGGUAGACACGGAAUGGUUAAAGUAGAAUGAUACAAGCGCUUCAGUCUUUACCCGUCAGAUGAGAGACGUUUGUCCAAACGUGGUAGGGACCGCUGGCGCUAUGUCUUGACGAUUCAGAUGUCGCUUGUGACGUCAGCUGCCGUCUUUUGGGUUGAUGAGAUAAGCAAAUAAUGAUACGACGUACUGGGGUUUGGAGAGACAAGAAAUAGACUCCCCUCGACUUGUUACAAUUUGCGUAGUAUGUGUUUUAGCCAUUUAAAGAGUACCUAGAUGUUUUGGAAGUAAUACAAAAUCAACCAUCUAAACGGUAAAUAAAACCGUAGUGAUAUCCUUAACAAUGACUUCAAUAAAGAAACUAAUUAUCA